CCUCCCAAAGUGCUGGGAUUACAGGCAUGAGCCACCAUAUUCGGCCCACAUGUAAGUUUAACAAGGUUUUAGUUCUAAAGUUUCUAACUCACCGAGACCUAACUGAUGAGGAACACUAUUACUGUCAUUAUCACCAGCACCAGCAUCGUUACCCUUUCUCUGAACUGGUGGUUGACCUGUUUUUGGGAAAUGGUUGUGAAGAUUAAAUGAGUUAACAUGACAAGUUUCAAACAGUGCAUGGGUAUGGCCUAUAAUACAAUCUAUAAAGUGUUAGUGGUGAUGAGAAAACAUUGCUUACAGGGUUGUGAACUGUGAUAUGCCUCUUGGAAAACAAUGCAGUAGACAUAUUAAGAGCCAAAACCAAAUGGUUCUCAGACCAGAGAUCCCACUUGUAGAAAUCCCAGAAAUAUAUAACUUUGGAAAACUCAUACCAACAUAUUCAUCACAGGAUUAUUAUGUAAAUUUUAAAACGAGUGGCUAACAAGAUCAAAUAAAUUAGAUCAUCUACUUGACUCCUUUGUAGCCACUAAAAGACUAAUAGCAAUGCAAAAAAAAAAAAGAUACAAGCCUGUAGGCCUUUGACAUAACUAUAAUGACGUAGUUAUGUAGUAGUAUACAAUGAUGAACACUGUAACAUUGCUAUAGAUCCUGGAGUAUGUGGGCUUUGGCAUUAUGAGUCUUCCUAUUUCUUUCAUAACUAACAAGGAGGUUGGCAACAGAUGACACAGGUAGUCGAACACAACCAAAAGUGGGAACAGAAGACAAUAAGGUCCUUUACUUUUUGUCAAGACCUGACUUGACUUUAAUGAUCAGUAACUAAAUGUCCGCUCAGUAGUUCUUUCCUGGAAUUAGUUGCCUUUAACUUUUGUUCUUAAAGUCUCUUCAGAAGAAUCCACUCCUAACAGAGAUAAGCAACAGUGGUCUACAUGAUGCCACGGUUCAUUGGGUCUUUUUUGGCAACACUCCAAAGUAUUCUCAAUCCGAAGGCAGCCUCCACAAUCAGCUGAUCUUCGGAAAAAACGAACAAACAAACAAAAAACAACUGCUAUUCACUCUAAAAUGAUGAAGGCAAGCUAACUGGAAUGGAAAAAAAAGAUGCUGUGAAUGUCACGUAUGCUUCCUGGCUACCCUCAAGGUCUCAAGGAAUAGAUGUGCCUGAUCCCCUGUCUUACCAGAUAAGGGCCCUCACUGAGGAUGAUCUAGGAACCCACAAGGUGGCAAAGAGGUGCCCCUUCCUUGAAGAGAGCCGGUCAAAGUCUUGGAGGUGGAAACGAACUGCCAACUGAUUAACCAUUUUCCUUAAGACUUGAAUGAUGGAAACCACACGGGUUUGGUUGACAGUGUGUUGUCUACCAUCAUGAUGUAGGAGGAGGAACCUGUUCUGGAGGAAACUGCGUUAUCACUUGUCAUCAAGUUGAAGGAUGCAGAGGCAUCAUGGUAUUUUCUUACCUUAUGGUAAGAGUUACAUAUAGGGGAGGAGGAGGAGAAGGCAGGGAAGGGGUGAGUUUUGUUGAACGUCCGGCUAGUACGGCACAUGCCAGUUGGGAGUGGAUGGUGGUUUGAAAGGACUCUUUAAAAAAAAAUUUUUUUCCCCCUAAUCUUUUCUGCCAGAAAAUGGCCUUGCUUAGGAACAUACUUGUUCUGCUAGGAAAAGGGAAAAGGCAAAUUUGCUCCCUGGGCGGCGGGUGGGGACAGGGGAGGUGGGGAUUGCUUGGGCUGUUCCUCGCCAUCCUGGACAGAAAAGCCGGGGCGGGCGCCGCAGAGGAAAAGCAAGUUGGGCCUUCGCUCUCGCGGUGCGCGGGGGACUAGCCUGUGCAGCAAGGGCGGCUUUUAUCUUUUUAUUUUUGGGGUUUCCCAGGAGCAAUGAUGGGCCUUGCGUGGCACAGAGGUCGGCCCCACCUCAGCUGCCGGGCUUGCACGGAGCAGGCCAGGCGUUAGCGCGUGCAGACCAGGCCCAGCCCGCGGCCGGAGGCCGCCAGCGCCUCAGCUCCCCGCCCCGGCCGGCCCCUCCUCCAAGGCUCUGGCCCGCACUGCGGGAAACUGACUGAAGGCGACAUCGCCAUUUUAGGUACGGGCAAAUUCUGGACGCUCCAAAACCCACGCCAAGCCCUCAGCAGGCCACACCCCCUGCGCCGGCCUCGGUCACUCACCGGGACCCUCACUGUACUCCGGACCGGUCCGAUUGGAAUCAGUGAACACAGCCCGGCUGAAGUUUCCCAGCCGCUGGCGCACCGGAUCCGGCAGCUCCAUGCCUGGGCCUCGGUAUCCCUCGCCCCCUCAGAUAC